rnacentral:rRNA from 1 species
GACGAACGCUGGCGGCGUGCCUAAUACAUGCAAGUAGAACGCUGAAACUUGGUGCUUGCACCGAGCGGAUGAGUUGCGAACGGGUGAGUAACGCGUAGGUAACCUGCCUGGUAGCGGGGGAUAACUAUUGGAAACGAUAGCUAAUACCGCAUAAGAGUAGAUGUUGCAUGACAUUUGCUUAAAAGGUGCAAUUGCACCACUACCAGAUGGACCUGCGUUGUAUUAGCUAGUUGGUGGGGUAACGGCUCACCAAGGCGACGAUACAUAGCCGACCUGAGAGGGUGAGCGGCCACGCUGGGACUGAGACGCGGCCCAGACUCCUACGGGAGGCAGCAGUAGGGAAUCUUCGGCAAUGGACGGAAGUCUGACCGAGCAACGCCGCGUGAGUGAAGAAGGUUUUCGGAUCGUAAAGCUCUGUUGUAAGAGAAGAACGAGUGUGAGAGUGGAAAGUUCACACUGUGACGGUAUCUUACCAGAAAGGGACGGCUAACUACGUG